rnacentral:rRNA from 1 species
AAGCGUGCGCAGGCGGUCUGUUAAGACCGAUGUGAAAUCCCCGGGCUUAACCUGGGAACUGCAUUGGUGACUGGCAGGCUAGAGUAUGGCAGAGGGGGGUAGAAUUCCACGUGUAGCAGUGAAAAUGCGUAGAGAUGUGGAGGAAUACCGAUGGCGAAGGCAGCCCCCUGGGCCAAUACUGACGCUCAUGCACGAAAGCGUGGGGAGCAAACAGGAUUAGAUACCCCUGU